rnacentral:tRNA from 1 species
GGUUCUAUAGUGUAGCGGUUAUCACUCCGGAUUCUNNUUCCGGCAACCCCGGUUCGAUUCCGGGUAGGACCU